rnacentral:lncRNA from 1 species
CAGUAACAUCAACAUCCGUCUCCCGUGAGACUUCCAACAGUCUGGAAUGUAAACAGAGUCUUGUGACUCCAAAAGCUGAACAGUGGCAUAACAGAAAUCUAACAAGAGCUUGGUUGGUGGGUGUGGCUUUGCUAUACAGUGGUACCUCUGGUUACGAAUGGGAUCCUUUCCGGAGGCCCAGCCACAUCCCAAAAACUUCAUAACCGGAGGAGCCCUUCUGCGCACGCAUGCAUGUAACCCGAGGGUCCACUGUAUUGGCUGGGGUGCCAUCUUGAAUAAAAGAUUGGGUGGUCCAGGUAAGCCCCACCCUGCAUAACUGAUCACAUAACGCAGUGCACGCACACCAUUUGAAUGCCAAUGCCCAUCAACUUUGGGGGUGCCCAUCCCCUCAAAUAUUUUUUGGGGGGGUGAAGUCUCCUCGGCCCCAAGGAGUUGUCUCCUAUGCUAUACAGGAAAUUCCACACAUGCCCUUUUCAUUUUGUUUAAACAAAUAAAUCUGUCCAAUCCUAUGCUGGUGGGAAACAUGGGCAUGCAUUCCCCCCCCCCAAAGGAAACCGUUUCUAAAAGAAAGUACUCAAAUACUAGCAUGUCAUCGUCUGACCCACAACAGGCCGAGAUCCUCGCCCCAAUUCAUCGCAGUAGAGCCAAUGAGGUGAAUAAACGAAGGGAGCAAAUGACAGAGGAAGGGAAGCUGCUGGUGCCACUCUGAAAAUCUUUGCUUAGACAUAGUAGCAGUUACUCUUGAGGAACCUGUUUACAUUACUGAGCAGGUGCACAAGCUUUUGAGCAGCUCACUUUCUCACUUGGGCAGGCUUGGAAAGCAUGUGAUCUCCCAAGCCAAUGUUACUAAGACACAGUAAUCACAUCUUAGUUUUUACAGCCCUAAUCAAGAAGUAGAAGGGGAGGCUGGUGGUUCUUGGUAGGCCAUGUUUGGCUCAGCGGGCCACAGGUUGUGCAAGCCUGGUCAGUGUGGAUGUUAUUGUGGUAAACUCCCUUGAGGAUGCUGAAAUUGGAAAGCCACAUGCUUAAAUGAGGGUGGAAGAAAAGUGCACAAUGGACAAGAAGUAUGUGAGUCGAAGUGGUUGUGUCCUGCUUGUUUCAUCUUCUGUCAGUCUCCCUUUUAAGCCUAAAGUGACUCUCAUUUAGGGCUCCGUACCAUAUCUCAUGGUGCUGAACAUGGUAAACUAAGAACUACAUAACAUUUGCUUUAAUUAAUGAAUACAGUCCUCAGAACUAUUGGUAACUUAACUCUAAUUUGCUUGCUUUUGUUUCUGCUCCAGAGUAGGUGAUCUGAGGAUUGCAGUAUACAGUGUGCCAUGAAAACUUCUUUGGGGAAAACAUAAAGGUAAAGGGACCCCUGACCGUUAGGUCCCAUCACAGACGACUUUGGGGUUGCGGCGCUCAUCUCGCUUUAUUGGCCGAGGGAGCCGGCGUACAGCAUGUGGUCAUGUGGCCAGCAUGACUAAGCCGCUUCUGGUGAACCAGAGCAGCGCACGGAAAUGCCGUUUACCUUCCCACCGGAGUGGUACCUAUUUAUCUACUUGCACUUUGACGUGCUUUCGAACUGCUAGGUUGGCAGGAGCAGGGACCAAGGAAUCCCCCUGUCGCGGGGAUUCAAACUGCACCACCCGCCACUUAAUUUAAUUGCAGUGUCAGGGGAUACAAUGCAGGUGCCUUAUGUCAAACUGACAGUAUACAAGCCAUGACUAAGAGACCAGCUCUUUUAUAUAAGUGCUCCCUGGAGCAAAGGGUCUACGGGAAUCUCCUGUCUAUAGAAAAUUUCAACAGAAUUGCUUGUAACUUCCUGAGGAUGCUAUGUGGUAAUGUUUAUUACACUAACUUUCAUGUCUGUAAACCUUUUGCUUAUAAGAGUAUUAUCAGCAAUGUAAAGAUGGUAUAUUUGCUACUUUCAUAACAUGCUGACAUCCCUUGAUCAAGUAGGAAAAGUCAAACUUGCAUUUUUUACCAAGACAAUCAUAAAUACCCCCACCCAGUACUUUGUGCUUUCUAUGAGCUAUACUUAAAGAAAGGAGAAAUGUCAACUUAAAACUGUUGUGCCCAUUUGUGAAAUUGGACCCUGUGUACAAAAGGACACUGGAAGUCCAUUAUAGAUGCCCUACUGCUGCGAAAACAUCUCCUUUACUGUACAAGAGCUUCAAUUUAAGUAGCUACUUUGCUUCCCUGUUGAUCUGGAAGUAGCAAUCUUUUCCUCCCUUGAUUAUGCUUUCCCCCGCCUUUUUUUACAGAACCAACUUCUCUUAGAAAACCUGAAAUGAAUUCUACACUGCUUACCUGUGCAGACACCCCAGAAAGAGAAGAAUAUUCUGUUUACAGCACCAAGUUAACAUAUAUAUAAGUGCAGAUCCUUGUAUCAUUAUUGUAGUUGUUUAUGUUAUUGACUUCCCUUUAAAACAAUCCAGAACUUUCACAAUAAACUCCCAGUGAGGCAGCCAUGUUAGUCUGUUGCUGAAUAAC